GCAACGGUGGCUUUUCAGGCCAUAGACCUUGGAGAGAAGCCAAGCGGGAACC
rnacentral:tRNA from 1 species